AGCCCGCGAGGGGGAGGCGAAUCCCAAAAAUAAACGUCCCAGUUCGGAUUGUAGUCUGCAACCCGACUACAUGAAGCUGGAAUCGCUAGUAAUCGCGGAUCAGAAUGCCGCGGUGAAUACGUUCCCGGGCCUUGUACACACCGCCCGUCAAGCCAUGGGAGCCGGGGGUGCCUGAAGUACGUGACCGCGAGGAGCGUCCUAGGGCAAAACUGGUGACUGGGGCUAAGUCGUAACAAGGUAGC
rnacentral:rRNA from 1 species